ensembl:lncRNA
GUUCAGAUGCUCAGUAACAAACUCCACCAAUGAGCCAACAGUGAAGCUUUAGGUUUAUUAAAUGUUGCUAUGAAGGUAUCGCUGUUUUUCUUUGUGAAUGCAAUGAGCUCCAACUGAAACUUGAAUUAGAACUUAGAAGUAAAUCCUUCCAUCUGAAAGGAUUUAGUUGCAUUAAUAACCUCAUAACAUUCUAAUUUUUAUUCCAGUCUUGGUUGAAAUUAGAAUCUCUGUAUUGAUUCAGGUAAAAACUGAACUUCACAGCAUGUUGGAGCAAAACAACCAGAUGAAAACUGUGAUGGUGUUGGAUUGUCAGACCGUAAUGUUGCAGCUCAAAGCAGCUUUUCUAGCUCAGUUCAUUCUGACAUUCAGCUAUGAAUCAACACAGCAGAUGGUGAUCCAUGCUGUGGAAGUCUCACAUCUCCUGAUUUAGUGGAGCUGCUUUGCACUUUUUACACUGUUUAUUCACCAACACUUUAUUUAAUAAAAGUCGCAUCUAGUUUUUAUGAGGAAUGUGAUGUUUUAAUUUCUCUGUUAAUAACUGCAGUCUAAUGGAACAGCUGGAGUUGUAACAUCUGUCCUGAUAUUGAUCAUGAAGUAUUGAUCACAAUACUUAUGGUUAGCAGUCAUCCCUGAAGUUUUACAUUAAAAUCUUUACUUGUGUUGUGAACUUUGGUAAGAAGCAGAAACAUUAGCGUUGCCAUGGAUACAUGAGUGUUAAAUUCUGUCCAUGUUUCCAUUUUGGGAAAUGCAGUCCAGUUCCAGAAUGUGGAGGAAUUUAGUCUCAAUCACAGACAACAAAUAUUAUCUGAAAGUCAGGUUAUUGUUGUUUAUCAGCACAAUACAAAAAGAUUAAUGUUAGAAAUAUUCCAGUUAAGACUCUAGAAUAUCAUGAUUUAUGUAAAUUUUCCUCAAUAAUAUGAAUGUUCAGGUUAAGAUUGUACAGUGAUAUUAUGUAAGUUUAGCUGAUUAACGUUUAUGACUCUGCACUAAAAUAUUAUUUAAAUUGACAUCAUUAUUACAAUAUUUAGGGUCAGACCCUACAGUAUUGAGAUUAAGAAAUCAAAUAUUCUAUAAAAUGUAAAUACACUGAACUCAUUUGGAUAUAUUUAAGUGAGACUCUACAAUAUUAUUUGACACAAAUCUAUCUAGAUUUUAAUCAUUUUUACUCCAAACAUUUACUUUACUGAUUUAAACAUUAAAAUCACUCCUUUCUAAUCCUCUGCUGUAUGUUCAAACAUGAGGCCUGAAAUAGAGAAACACACAAGUAUCUGAUUGAAGGAACUUCUGCAGAGUCCUGGUUCCAGAACAUGAUGAUAGAAUUAUAGACAAACUUUAACAAAAGCUGCCUGAGAGUUUACAGGUUUUUAUGUUAGAUUUCUUCAGUAAUUUAAUGAGAGUUAUCAGCAAAAAUCAAGUGUUCAUUUGAUGAACUUAAUUUCCUAAAACAUCCAGAAUUGGAGCUCAUAUCUUUGGCAGUUGUAAAGUUUCUGCUCCUUCAAAGUUCACAACACAAUGAACGAAUUCCUAAAACACUCUCAAUGCUGGAGAGCAUUUGUGAUGCUGAAGCAGUGACCAGUUUUUCUGUUUCUUCUCUGGAGAUGCACAAUGAGGGACGUCUGCAGCGACUGAGAAAGAGUCUCACCACAUCCUGACAUGAGGAAAAGACUUUAUUGAAGACUACAAUGAGGAAAAUUAUCAGACAGCAGACGGCUGCAUUCAAGUCUGUAGCUGCUGAAUUCAUGGAUGAAUCAUCUGGCACUAGAGAGGAAGACCAUCAAACAUCCAUGUCAGCUGAUGGAGGUCCAAGAGUCUCACCAAACAAACAACCUACAGAGUGAAGACCUCAAAUCUGAUUGGACGGCCUCCUAUUCAGCCACAUGCUGUUAGAUUGUUCCAGAUAAGACAAGUACAAGAUUCUUCAGAGCCGUUCUACCACGAGCCUGACAGGAAGAACUCCAACAGCUACUGAAUGUUCCUGUGGUCCCCUCAAGGCUACAGGAGGAGCCCUACGAGGACGAGCCGGUCCACCUGAUGGAGGCCAGUCGCUGCGGUUCAAAGCCAACACCGACUACGUGGACUUCUACUGGACCACACGGAGGCCUUCAAACCGGACCAACAAGUUCAGCGACUCCCCGACUCGUGGGUCUGAGGAUGCCGCCGAGCCUCGGUCCAGCCGGCCUCCUGUCUGUGGGUGUUUGAUUGCUGAGAGGUUUGUGGAUGCAUGUG